ACCUGCCCUCCACUCUGGGAUAAGCCCGGGAAWCUGRRUCUAAUACCGGAUAGGACCACUGAUCGCAUGGUUGGUGGUGGAAAGUUUUUUCGGUGGGGGAUGGGCCCGCGGCCUAUCASCUUGUUGGUGGGGUGAUGGCCUACCAAGGCGGUGACGGGUAGCCGGCCUGAGAGGGCGACCGGCCACACUGGGACUGAGACACGGCCCARACUCCUACGGGAGGCAGCAGUGGGGAAUAUUGCGCAAUGGGCGGAAGCCUGACGCARCGACGCCGCGUGGGGGAUGACGGCCUUCGGGUUGUAAACCUCUUUCGCCAGGGACGAAGAGCGAUUGACGGUACYUGGAGAAGAAGCACCGGCCAACUACGUGCCAGCAGCCGCGGUAACACGUAKGGUGCGAGCGUUGUCCGGAAUUAUUGGGCGUAAAGAGCUCGUAKGCGGUGUGUCRCGUCGGCCGUGAAAACUUGGGGCUUAACUCUGAGCGUGCGGUCGAUACGGGCAUCACUUGAGUUCGGCAGGGGAGACUGGAAUUCCUGGUGUAGSGGUGAAAAUGCGCAGAUAUCAGGAGGAACACCGGUGGMGAAGGMGGGUCUCUGGGCCGAUACUGACGCUGAGGAGCGAAAGCGUGGGGAGCGAACAGGAU
rnacentral:rRNA from 1 species